rnacentral:rRNA from 1 species
UGCAUCGAUGAAGAACGCAGCGAAACGCGAUAGGUAAUGUGAAUUGCAGAAUUCCGUGAAUCAUCGAAUCUUUGAACGCACCUUGCGCUCCAUGGCAUUCCGUGGAGCAUGCCUGUUUGAGUGCCGCGAAAUCUCCCACCCCUAGCGGUUGCCGCAAGGCGCCGCCGGGCGGCGGGGUUGGUUGGGUGUCGCUGCCUGGGCUUUGGCCCAGGCUCGCCCGAAAUGCAUGAGCGCUUAGCACUCGCACCGUCUCGAGGGAAGGCGGCGGAGCUGGCAUCUGCGCAUGGCAUGAUACGUCAUUUGCUGUGUGGCAGCCCAGCGACCCGAGAGUGUGUGUGCGCUACUACACGCCCUUUCAUUUCUGGUCUCAAAUCAGGUAGGAUCACCCGCUGAACUUAAGCAUAUCAAUAAGCGGAGGA